CUUCUUUGGUCACUACAGCAUAAAGCCUAACUAGCUUGUCAUGCUGAAGCGUCUUCAUGAGGUUGGCUUCCUCCAGAAAGGCUUGCACAGACAUCGUUCCAGGCUUCAAAGUCUUCACAGCCACUUUUGUACUAUUAUGAUAGUAACCCAUCCAGACUUCUCCAAACUGACCAGCUCCGAGCUUCUUCACUAAUUUAAUUGACUCUCGUGGAAUUUCCCAUGCAUCUUUAUCCC
rnacentral:lncRNA from 1 species